rnacentral:misc_RNA from 1 species
GUAACCGGAGAGGGAACCCACU